UGCAAGUCGAGUGCGCGGUUGUAGCAAUACAACUGGCGCACGGCGCACGGGUGCGUAACACGUGGGCAAUCUGCCCUCCGAUGGGGAAUAACUCCGGGAAACCGAAGCUAAUUCCGCAUAACAUUCCCUGGACUCCGGUUCGGGGAUUCAAAGCAGCAAUGCGUCGGAGGAGGAGCCCGCGCCCGAUUAGCUAGUUGGUGAGGUAACGGCUCACCAAGGCUAUGAUCGGUAGCUGGUCUGAGAGGAUGGCCAGCCACACUGGAACUGAGACACGGUCCAGACUCCUACGGGAGGCAGCAGUGGGGAAUCUUGCGCAAUGGGCGAAAGCCUGACGCAGCGACGCCGCGUGGGGGAUGAAGCUUCUCGGAGUGUAAACCCCUUUCGACCGGGACGAAUGCCCGCAAGGGAGUGACGGUACCGGUAGAAGAAGCCCCGGCUAACUACGUGCCAGCAGCCGCGGUAAGACGUAGGGGGCCAGCGUUGUUCGGAAUUACUGGGUGUAAAGGGUUCGUAGGCGGUGUGGCAAGUCGGGAGUGAAAUUUCUGGGCUUAACCCAGAACCUGCUUCCGAAACUGCUGUGCUGGAGUGUGGGAGAGGCGCGUGGAAUUGCAGGUGUAGCGGUGAAAUGCGUAGAUAUCUGCAGGAACACCCGUGGCGAAAGCGGCGCGCUGGACCACUACUGACGCUGAGGAACGAAAGCUAGGGGAGCAAACAGGAUUAGAUACCCUGGUAGUCCUAGCCCUAAACGAUCA
rnacentral:rRNA from 1 species